GAGUCAUUGGGACUGCUUGCUAAACCUAAAGGCGCAAUGAAAGUAAAGGUCCGCCUCGCGCGGACCGAGGGAGGAUGGGCCCGCCUUCGGGCGGACCCCGCACUCCCGGGGCGUCUCGUUCUCAUCGCGAGGAGAGGCGCACCCAGAGCGUACACGCUGGGACCCGAAAGAUGGUGAACUAUGCCUGGUCAGGACGAAGUCAGGGGAAACCCUGAUGGAGGUCCGUAGCGAUUCUGACGUGCAAAUCGAUCGUCGGAACUGGGUAUAGGGGCGAAAGACUAAUCGAACCUUCUAGUAGCUGGUUCCCUCCGAAGUUUCCCUCAGGAUAGCUGGCGCUCGCCUUCGCGAGUCUCAUUCGGUAAAGCGAAUGAUUAGAGGCAUUGGGGUCGAAACGGCCUCAACCUAUUCUCAAACUUUAAAUGGGUGAGAUCUCCGGCUUGCUUGAACGUUGAAGCCGCGAGAGAAUCGGAUCGAAGAGUGCCAAGUGGGCCACUUUUGGUAAGCAGAACUGGCGCUGUGGGAUGAACCAAACGCCGAGUUAAAGCGCCCAAAUCGACGCUUAUGGGAUACCAUGAAAGGCGUUGGUAACUUA
rnacentral:rRNA from 1 species